AUUUCCGCUAAAAUUCUGACAAAAAAAUAAUUGCAUGAAGUAUUGAAAGAAAACUAAGAUAAUUUUAAAUUUUAUUGAAGAAUUUCUUGUGAGGUUUUACGGUAAAUGAAACACUCAGAUAAACUAGUUUGUCUAUGGAAACACUCCACUGUGUCGGUUGGAAGGUGUGGAAUAUGUUCAGUGAAAAUUAAUCACAAAAUGCUUAAUUUCAUGAUCUACUCAACCAAGUUUCUCUGUAUAGAUGCCUACCAUCUCGCCAAGAAAGGACCACUUCUACUAGAAGAUUUGUUGAAUGCAUUGCAGGUUGGAAGAGUAAAUCACAUAACUGAUGGAUUAAUUAACUGUCAUUCAUUCAGCUGGCAAUUGGUAAUCAACAAAAGAUUCCUUCAGUCUGUAGAUUGAAAGUCAGUAAAUAUUAUUUCCUGUCAUGCUGAUGCUAUGGAAUAUGUUGAGUGAAAAGAAAUCACAAAAUGCUCAAUUUCGUGCUCUUCUCAACGAAAUUUCUGUAUAAGGAUGCCUACAAAACUUGCUAACAAGGGACCAUUCUUUUACUAGAUUUUUUGAAAUCAAUGCAUUGCAGGUUGCAGGAGGAAAUUAUAUAAAUGGCGGAUGAAUUAAGAUGUCAAAUGGGCAUCCACAUGAUUUUAUCAGUUUGUAGAUUUCGUGCUCUUCUCAACGAUGUUUCUCUAUAUAGAUGUCUACCAAACUUUCUAACAAAGGACCACUCUUCUACUAGAUUUGUUGAAUGCAUUGCAGGUUGCAGGAGGAAAUUACAUAAAUGGUGGAUGAAUUAAUAAAUAAUUGCCAUUUAUUGAGAUGGCAAAUGGUUGUCAAUAUGAUUUCUUCAGUUUGUGGAUUGCAAGUCAGUAUAUAAUCUAUCUGCUCAUGCUGAUGUUAUGGAAUAUGUUGAGUGGAAAGAAAUCACAAAAUGCUCAAUUUCGCGCUCUUCUCAAUGAAGUUCCUGUUCAAAGAUGCCUACAAAACUUACUAACAAAGGACUAUUCUUCUACUAGAUUUUUUGAAUACAUUGCAGGUUGCAGAAGGAAAUUACAUACCCUAAAUGGUUGAUCAUUUAAGAUAUCAAAUGGCCAUCAACAUGAUUCUAUCAGUUUGUAGUUUUGGGGCAUGUAAGAGAAAGAAACCGACUGCAGAGAAAUAUUCAGGAGAAUUUCUUUUUGACAUCAAAUUUGAAGGUGAUCCUAUGCCAAAAUAUCGUGAACAAGUUCUUUUAGGGAACAUCUCAUAGCGAAUAGGUGUUCAGGAAUGAAUAAUAGUAAUUCGUAAUAUCGAAUAAAUAAUACUAAAUAUACAUUAUACAAUAU